rnacentral:rRNA from 1 species
AUGAACGCUGGCGGCGUGCCUAAUACAUGCAAGUCGAGCGAACAGACGAGGAGCUUGCUCCUCUGACGUUAGCGGCGGGCGGGUGAGUAACACGUGGAUAACCUACAUAUAAGACUGGGAUAACUUCGGGAAACCGGAGCUAAUACCGGAUAAUAUAUUGAACCGCAUGGUUCCAUAGUGAAAGAUGGUUUUGCUGUCACUUAUAGAUGGAUCCGCGCCGCAUUAGCUAGUUGGUAAGGUAACGGCUUAACAAGGCAACGAUGCGUAGACGACCUGAGAGGGUGAUCGGCCACACUGGAUCUGAGACACGGUCCAGACUCCUACGGUAGGCAGCAGUAGGGAAUCUUCCGCAAGGGGCGAAAGCCUGACAGAGCAACGCCGCGUGAGUGAUGAAGGUCUUCGGAUCGUAAAACUCUGUUAUUAGGGAAGAACAAAUGUGUAAGUAACUAUGCACGUCUUGACGGUACCUAAACAGAAAGCCACGGCUAACUACGUG